rnacentral:rRNA from 1 species
UACCGAGGGUGCAAGCGUUGCUCGGAAUUAUUGGGCGUAAAGGGUAGGUAGGUGGUCUCAUUUGUCUGGGGUGAAAUCCUUGGGCUUAACCCAAGAAGUGCCCCAGAAACGGUGAGACUGGAGUCCUGGAGAGGGUCGUGGAAUUCCCGGUGUAGCGGUGAAAUGCGUAGAGAUCGGGAGGAACAUCAGUUGCGAAGGCGGCUCUCUGGACCAGCACUGACACUGAGGCACGAAAGCGUGGGGAGCAAACAGG